CUUGCUGAUACCGAUGGCGACCGGCGCACGGGUGAGUAACACGUAUCCAACCUGCCGAUAACUCGGGGAUAGCCUUUCGAAAGAAAGAUUAAUACCCGACGGUAUAAUAAAACCGCAUGGUUUAAUUAUUAAAGAAUUUCGGUUAUCGAUGGGGAUGCGUUCCAUUAGGCAGUUGGUGAGGUAACGGCUCACCAAACCUUCGAUGGAUAGGGGUUCUGAGAGGAAGGUCCCCCACAUUGGAACUGAGACACGGUCCAA
rnacentral:rRNA from 1 species